UUAUCUCAAAAUGAAAUAUAGCUUUCAGUCCGACUAGAAUACUCUUAGGGUGCGUUUAGUUUGAGUUAUCCUGGCAGGAUUACAGGCAAUCCUGCCAGGAUUACUGUGUUUGAUUCAUCUGUUAUGCAAUCUAGUCGUUAAUGUAGCAUUACAAAUCGAGCAGGAUUACACCGAAAAUAUUAACGGGAGGGGGUCGUGUAUCUUGCAUUACUGAAAACCGAUAAUACUACAUAUUAUGUAAAAUUAUAAUUUUACUCCUCUAACUCUCGAAACCCUUUUAAUAUGUCAUUUUAAAAAAUUUAAUUUAAAAUUUUGAAUUGUCAACUUUUAAAUUUUAAAUUUUAAAUUUAAAUUUUUAAACUUCAAAUUUAAAUUUUAAAUUUUAAAUUUGAAUUUAAAUUUUAGAUUUUAAAUUUCAAAUUCUGAAUUUUAAAUUUCAAAUUUAAAUUUUAAGUUUUAAAUUUUAAAUUUAGAAUUUGAAAUUUAAAAUCUAAAAUUUCAAAUUUCAAAUUUCAAAUUUAAAAUCUAAAAUUUAAAAUUUAAAAUUUAAAAAAUUUUAAAUUUGAAGUUUAAAAAUUUAGAUUUUAAAUUUCAAAUUCUAAAUUUUAAUUUCUGAAUUUUAAAUUUAGAUUUUUAAUUUUUAAUUUUAUAUUUAUAUUUAUAUUUAUAUUUUGGAUUUUAAAUUUAUAAAUUUCAUAUUUAUAUUUUAAAUUAAAAUGUUAAAUUUAUAUUUUUGUUCAAAUUUAAAAUUUAAAAUUUAAAUUUUAAAAAAUUAAAUUAUUUAAAAUAAAAUUUAGUAAAAAAAUAUUAUUUGUAAACAAUAAAAAAAAAAAAGUUUACAAAAUAUGGUUAAAGGCAAUUUUGGAAUAGACUAUACUUUAUUGUCUAGAUUACUGAAUUUUAUAGAUAGAACCAAACAUAUUAAUGCUAUAAUCACUGCAAUCCAGUAUUAUAUUACUGUAUUAAACCAAAUGCGCUAAUGCAGCAUAAGUAGUAAUAUCUUUUAGAAAUCCAAGAUACCUGGAUAUAUCGAAAUACUCUGUAAUAUUAUAUAACUUGAACCAAACGCGCCCUUAGAAGCACAGUGGCGUCCAGCUUCUAAGUUGUAUUCGAUGAUAGAACAUCUGAAUGGACAAUCAGUUUCGUUAUAUAUAUAUGAUCUACACUAUUGAAAGUAUCUAGAAACCAAAUCUUAUAAUUUUUUCCGCUUUCAUACUUAUACCUAAAAUGGUAUUUGGAUACAAGUGAGCGGAUAAGGUUUCGUUUGGGAUUGCGGUGAAAAAGUAAGGUUAAAAAAAAUAUUUCUUUUGUUUUCAUAUGUAAUAUUGCGUUUCGCAUAUCGCAAUGGAUCGGUAAUAAUAUAUUUUCUACGGUCCUGUCGGAAAACGGAGAAACAUAUUUCUAUAUACUUUUACUCCAACUCCAUUUUAUCUAAUAAUGUUAAAUAAAUUUUAAUACCAAACUAGGUCUAGAAGCUUAUUCUCCCACUUAAUUAUUCCCCAACCAAACACAAACACUCUCUUUUUUGUGUUU
rnacentral:lncRNA from 1 species